AACGUAGGACGCAAGCGUUAUCCGGAGUUACUGGGCGUAAAGCGCGGGCAGGCGGCCAACCAAGUCUGAUGUGAAAUCUCUUCGCUCAACGGAGAGAGGCCAUUGGAAACUGGUCGGCUGGAGGGCAGUAGAGGUAGGCGGAAUUCCGGGUGGAGUGGUGAAAUGCGUAGAGAUCCGGAGGAACACCAGAGGCGAAGGCGGCCUACUGGGCUGCACCUGACGCUGAGCCGCGAAAGCCAGGGGAGCGAACGGGAUUAGAAACCCCGGUAGUCCUGGCCGUAAACGAUGUGUGCUGGAUGGCGGUCCGAACGGGUCGUUGUCGAAGCUAACGCGAUAAGCACACCGCCUGGGGAGUACGGUCGCAAGGCUAAA
rnacentral:rRNA from 1 species